GAAAUGCGAUAAGUAAUGUGAAUUGCAGAAUUCAGUGAAUCAUCGAAUCUUUGAACGCACCUUGCGCUCCUUGGUAUUCCUUGGAGCAUGCCUGUUUGAGUAUCAUGAAAUCUUCAAAGAAAAUCUUUUGUUAACUCAAUUGGCUUCUACUUUGGUAUUGGAGGUCUUUGCAGCUUCACACCUGCUCCUCUUUGUUCAUUAGCUGGAUCUCAGUGUUAUGCUUGGUUCCACUCGGCGUGAUAAGUUAUCUAUCGCUGAGGACACUGUAAAAGGUGGCCAAGGUAAAUGCAGAUGAACCGCUUCUAAUAGUCCAUUGACUUGGACAAUACUUUUAUGAUCUGAUCUCAAAUCAGGUAGGACUACCCGCUGAACUUAAGC
rnacentral:misc_RNA from 1 species